UCAGGGCAAGCAUAGGAAAAACUGUCUUCAUGAAGUACCAGAAACCAGCUGGUUUAUAUAGAAGAAAUGUAUUCUCGUGACUUUGGAGACACAAAUCAAGGCAUCCCCUGCUCACUUCACCCUGGACAAUGACUUCAGCUC